rnacentral:rRNA from 1 species
UACGGAGGGAGCUAGCGUUGUUCGGAAUUACUGGGCGUAAAGCGCACGUAGGCGGCUUUUUAAGUCAGGGGUGAAAUCCCGGGGCUCAACCCCGGAACUGCCCUUGAAACUGGAGAGCUAGAAUCUUGGAGAGGCGAGUGGAAUUCCGAGUGUAGAGGUGAAAUUCGUAGAUAUUCGGAAGAACACCAGUGGCGAAGGCGACUCGCUGGACAAGUAUUGACACUGAGGUGCGAAAGCGUGGGGAGCAAACAGG